rnacentral:lncRNA from 1 species
CAAGGGUCUUGGUUCAUAUGCAUGUACAUACUUGCAAGGUGGGCUCUUUAGAACUGCAAUUUCCUAGAGAAGGGUCUCCUCAAAUCUAGUGUGUGUAUGAACUUUAAAUGAAAAGAUGGAACACCGCGUUCUUAACUUGGCAAUUGGCCAUUGUACAUGAUGGUGACUCUCGAAGAGAAUGUUGAUUAUGUGAUGUGGUGAAAUAUAUGUUGCACAAAUAGGGAAGUCAAACUCACUAAAUCAUGCCUGGUCUUGGCAUAAUUUUAUAGUUACCAAAGCCAGUUAGGAUGUACUUAGGGGAAAAAAAAAAGUUUCUUCCUCUCAAAACUGAGAUGUUCAAAUGCAUCAGUCAUGAGUCUGCAUCUUGGAGUCAGGCCCAGGAGAGGUGGUCAAUGAAUGAUGAAAUUUAGUUAUCCAUCAAUGGAGCAGAGCAACCUUUAAAUGAAUUUCUGUAGACAUAUGAAAGAAGUUUGUUGCGUGUCCAGUACUCCUAAUAAUAAUUUCACCACAGGUUUUAUUUAUUUUUACUAAUGUAGCCUUAUUUAAUUUUAAUCCUCUGUAGUACUGUUGCCUUUUGUAAUCUCCAUAACAAACAGUACUUAAUUAUGCAUCUCCUUUAUCAAUUUUAUAUUGCAUACAUCUGGAGGUUAUGUGCUAGAACAUUAACUUCAUUUUUGAAAGAACUUUAAAUAAUUUAAAUAAAAGUGAUUUUCAUAUAUCCUAAUACAAUUUCAUAAAUAACUAUAUAAAGAAACUUGGAUGGCCUAGCAGAUUUUUACUGAAGUAUGGGGGUUUAUGCUUUUAGGUCCCAAGUUCAAAACCUACCUCAUAAGUUAAGAAAAAGAAAUAACUGUAGCAAUGAAAUUUCAUGGUGUGACUCAAUAGUUUUGUUAGCAUGGGUCUUCUAAAAGAAUGAAACAAAGGAGGAAGAAGUGCAAACCUUCAAAUCUGAGAAGAAAUUUCCCCAAAUCAAUCCCAGGUCACCAAGAAGAAGGAAAGAAAAAAGGUGAGGGAGAAAUUCACAUCAACUUCCCUAUAGAAAUGCUCAUAUAUAAAUAUACUUGUACACAAUUGCUCUUUUGGAUAAUAGAGAUGUGAAAGAAGAACUCCACAUUUCCUAGGGUUUUUUUUUUUUUCCCCCUAUUUAUCCCUCCGAUGCUUAUUUAACAUCCCUUCUGGAGGAUCUCUUUGCACACAGCAAACACGCUUCCUUACAAUCCUUCGCAACCCCUAGACACAACUCCUUCUUUGAUAUAGAAUGAGUUAUGGUAGUAAUCAGAGGGCUGUAUUCUCUUAAGGCAAUUAAAACCAAGAUAUCAAUCAAAAGCUACAUAUUUUUCUUUCUUUGAUUUUCUGGAAAAUCUGCUGCUAAAUUCCCCUUAGCUAUCGCCAACCAGGUACACACUGUGUGUCCAUCCUCGGCUCAUGUAAGUCUUGCCUUUAUGAAGUUCAUAUUCUAGCAAAAUUAAAAAGAGAUUUAAGUUAAAUAAUUGGUGCAGCUGAUGCCAACAUUCAGAUAGGCUCUCAGAUGUGGUUUUGAUCCCACUAUGGGUUCAGAAAACUAUAGAAUGCUAAAAACAGUUACUAUGUGACAAAGUGAAAUAGGGCAAAUAAUCCUAUCAAAUGUUGGAAGAAGAAAGGCUUCUGGGAGACAUUGGAGUGAGUUUGAAUCAAUAUUAAUACCUGGGAAAUGACAGCAGCAGAUGAGCUACUCUAGUGUGAAACAAUUAAAGUUGACAGGGCUCGGUUUGAACAAUGUGUUUCACUGGUCAUAAAGCUAAGAGACAGAUCUGCAAACAAUGACAAGCCCUGAAUGCAGUAUCUGCCAUCAUCAUUGACAGAGUGGUCAGAAUGUUUAAUUGGUGACCUCAGAAUCACUAAUUGGGCAUUAAUCUUUCAAUCAACCAUUUUUGAUUAAAGAAAUCACUCUUUAGUAAGUUCUUUUCCUUUUCCCUCCCCCCCUCCUCCCCCCCACCCCCGCCAAGCCAGGUCUGUUUCGACUUUUACAUUAGAAGACAAGCCAAUUUAAGUAGUUGAUCUGGGUUUCCAGAGGACAAAGCCACUGAUUUCACAAUUAGAAAGAUGGCUUAAAAUGUCAAGAUCCCUGGUAAAGUAAUACCUUUCCAUAAAUUGACAGUGAAGGAUGAACAAGUGAGGCUGAGCCCUUUGCCGAGAGCAGAUUUAAUUGGCAGGGGUCAGGGAAUUUCACAAAGAUGGAGUUCCUUAAGGAUGCAAAGAAAAGUACGAUGAAGAGGAGGGAAAAAAUCUACCUAAAGUGGGUCUGGUGAUGUCAAACCCAAUCUUUCCUUCACAAUCUUGCCUGGGGCUUGUUCUGCCAAGACUAAAGAAAUGAUGACAUCUGUAUGGCAUAUUUGUAGUACUGUAGCAUUUUAUUUUACACCUCGGUAAAAAUACAGAAAUUUUGGGAAAGUGAGGGAGGAACUCAACUAUGAGUUAGUUUUCCUAAAAUGCAUAUUGCUCUUAAUUCAGUAUGUGCAAAUAAAUGCUAAUUAACUGAAAUCCAUUCUGAAUUUUAUUACUAAUUCUCAGCUUUUGAGAAAUAAAUGUGGACUCAGACCCAGUGGGUAGAGUUCCAACAGUUUUUAAAUAGCCUAAACUAUUUUUGCUCUUAAUAGUAGAUAGCUGUAAGUUUUAAUAAAACAAGUUUACUUGAGUGAAAAUAUAUUUCAAUUCCCGUGUUAGGAAGAACUGUGUGGAUUUAUAUGCAUAUCUCAAGUUCUCUCAUUAACAAACAUUUCUAAACUUCUCUGUAUUGUGAACUGCCUCAUUGUGAACUGUUUCAAAAAUGUUUUAAAAUGCAUUAAAAUAAAAUGUUCUAGUCUGGGCAAAAUAAAUGCCUUGAAACCGACUCUAGUUUAAAGCAUUAUACAUGUAGCUGGUAAACACGGUUUUUAAUAUAAUCAUAUUUUCCACAUUGAUCUGAAUCAGCUGCAAUGAUUUAAAUAGACUCAACAUUGGAAAACUGGGAAGAAUCCAAUUUAAAGUACUUUGUACUCAGUUCUUUCAUAUCACCUAUGCUAAAAAUGCCAUGGUGUACUGUCAUCAAAUAUGAUUUGCAAUUUUCUAUACCAACAGAUGAGUCAAUUUGAAAUUUUUUCGCUUAUAAUAAAAACAGGAAUUUGAAAGCAACCACUAAUACACAAAUUUGGUUUUCAGGCUUUUUUGUCUUUUGGCAAUCCAGGCCUUUGUGUCAUUUGUUUUCUCAAUUUCUGUAAAGCAGUUCAAAAAAAGUUUUACUGAGAGUUUGUUUGUUGCUAAGUUUCAUGUUAUGGCACAUUGUUAUAGUUCAUUAUUUUGACUACUGUAGUAUAUGCCAAUGUGUGAAUAACACAUGGUUUAUUCAUCCAGUCUUCCACAGUGGGUGUUUGGAUUAUUUCCAGUUUUUUGCUGUUAUGAUAAUCUCACACAGGUCUCUGGUAGUUCAUGUGAAAGUGUCUCUCUUGGGUUCAUACCUAGGAGUAAAAACCUGAAACACAGGGCAUAUGAAUGUUCAAAUAUAGAAGGACAUAGGCAAUGUCAUCUUUCUUCUUCAGUGAUUUCACCAUCAUUCCCUACGUUCCUAGACUUAUCAAAUCACCAUUUAAUUAAACCUACCAUUUUAUUUUUUUUCCCUUUCGAUGAAUUGAUUGUUUGGGAAUACUGAAACACUGUAACAUCUUUAAGAAAGCAAUUUUACUAAUGAAAUAUUUUUGUUUUUUCAUGUGCUUUAAACUUUUUCUUUGUUUUUAGAGUUUCCUGAUUUAGUUCAUUGCAGGGACUUGUCUUUGGUAUUCUAACUUUAGAAGUAAUGUUUGUUCUCCCUGGCCUAUCAAAGAGUCAAACCAGGUGCUUCAUAUGAGAAGAAGUUUCACUUUAUAUUUUCCAACUAAAAUGCAUGUUAAUAAUGCAUUUGAGGCAU